AGGGACUCGUAAGUAAGCAUUUCACUGUAAGGUCUACUACACCUGUUGUAUUUGGCGCAUGUGACUAAUACAAUUUGAUUUGAUUUGAAUCCCAGAACACACUCCAGACUGUGCUAGCAAAACAGUCCUGUAGUUUAGCAUCUGCUUCAUCUGACCACUUUUUUAUAGACCGAGUCACUGGUGCUUCCUGCUUUAAUUUUUACUUGUAAGCAGGAAUCAGGAGGAUAGAAUUAUGGUCAGAUUUGCCAAAUGGAGGGUGAGGGAGAGCUUUGUAUGUGUAUCUCUGUGUGGAGUAAAGGUGGUCUAGAGUUUUUGGCCACUAGGAGCGCAGCCUAUAGGGAGGAGGUCAGAGACCUGUCCGUGUGGUGCCAGGACAACAACCUCUCCUUCAAUGUUAUUAAGACAAAAUAGAUGAUUGUGGCCACUAGGAGCGCAACCUCUGGAUGAGCGGUUUCCUGUUUUCUUAUGGUGGUAUACAGCUCAUUGAGUGAGGUUUUAGUGCCAGCAACGGUCUGUGGUGGUAUGUAGACAGCUAUGAAAAAUACAGAUGAAAACUCUCUCGGUAGAUAGUGUGGUCUACAGCUUAUCAUGAGAUACUCUACCUCAGACGAGCAAAACUUCCUUAGAUACCGUGCACCAGCUGUUAUUUAUAAAAAUGCAUAGUCCGCCACCCCUUGUCUUACCAGACAACGCUGUUCUAUCCUGCCCAUACAGUGUAUAUCCAGCCAGCUGCAUGUUGAUUAUGUUGUCGUUCAGCCACGACUUGGUGAAACAUAAGAUAUUAUUUUUUUUAACGUCCCAUUGGUAGGAUAUACGUGCUUUCAGUUUGUCCCAUUUAUUUUCCAGUGAUUAAACGUUAGCUAGCAGGACGGAAGGCAAAGGCAGAUUAGCGACUUGUCAACCUGAUCCUCACAAGGCACCCUGAUCUUUUUCCGCAAAAUCUCUGUUUCCUUCUCCAGCGAAUGACAGGAAUCUGGGCCUGGUCGGGUAGCAUAUCCCUCCAGUCCAAAUCAUUGAAGAAAAACUCUGUCUAAUCUGAGGAUGCCGGUGGGCGGAGUUGGGAGGGUCGUCAGCUACAUGGGAAACACCUGGGCCCGCUGUGUCAUAGGAUAAAUACACCACUUCCCCAUUCAUGGAGGAGACUCUCUCCAUGCAGACACCUUUACAGAUUUUGUUGUGAAUCUUGGUGCUUUUUGGUUGUUUGCUUUAGCACCUUUCAACACCCUGCAUUAUCACAUUCAUGCAUGCAAAACACUCACUUACACUACUGAUUACUGAUUACACACACCAUUGUAUAUUGUACUUAGUUAAUAAAUAUAUUUUGUUAUUCUUUA